rnacentral:lncRNA from 1 species
UACCUGCAUGUACUAUUGACAGCAACAGAAGAGCCAAAAGAGAUACCAUGCUGAAUUGGCAGAGGUGAUCAUGUAUUGAAAACAACCUCAUCACAGAUACAAGGCUAAUGAUAUAUGAUAUGACAGCCAAUGGUCUAUUUAUUACUUUUCACUAGCGUGCUAUUCUAAUUGGUCGUAAACAGGUUGUGGAAAGAGUUAUUCAGCCGUGGAGGAGAAGAUAUGAAAACGAUUGAUGAUUAUAUAAUAACCUUUACUUUACAUAAAAUAAGAGUUAAUACAUUUAAAUGUCAAGUUUAUCACUAUGUGCAUGUAAAUAUAUCUAUUUUUGUGCAUUUAAAUUGACAAAAAACUCUCAAAUAUAUCUCUAUUUA